rnacentral:rRNA from 1 species
UACGGAAGGGGCUAGCGUUGUUCGGAAUUACAGGGCGUAAAGAGCGCGUAGGCGGCUUACCAAGUUGGGGGUGAAAUCCCGGAGCUCAACUCCGGAACUGCCUUCAAAACUGGUAGGCUCGAGUCCGGAAGAGGGGCGUGGAAUUCCCAGUGUAGAGGUGAAAUUCGUAGAUAUUGGGAAGAGCACCGGUGGCGAAGGCGGCGCCCUGGUCCGGUACUGACGCUGAGGAGCGAAAGCGUGGGGAGCAAACAGG